rnacentral:rRNA from 1 species
AUUGAACGCUGGCGGCAGGCUUAACACAUGCAAGUCGAGCGGGGUGAUGGUGCUUGCGCUAUCACUCAGCGGCGGACGGGUGAGUAAUGCUUAGGAAUCUGCCUAUUAGUGGGGGACAACAUCUCGAAAGGGAUGCUAAUACCGCAUACGUCCUACGGGAGAAAGCAGGGGAUCACUUGUGACCUUGCGCUAAUAGAUGAGCCUAAGUCGGAUUAGCUAGUUGGGGGGGUAAAGGCCUACCAAGGCGACGAUCUGUAGCGGGUCUGAGAGGAGGAUCCGCCACACUGGGACUGAGACACGGCCCAGACUCCUACGGGAGGCAGCAGUGGGGAAUAUUGGACAAUGGGGGGAACCCUGAUCCAGCCAUGCCGCGUGUGUGAAGAAGGCCUUUUGGUUGUAAAGCACUUUAAGCGAGGAGGAGGCUCUUAAGGUUAAUACCCUUGAUGAGUGGACGUUACUCGCAGAAUAAGCACCGGCUAACUCUAUGCCAGCCGCCGCAGUAA